rnacentral:rRNA from 1 species
AUGCUCAAAAUUGAUCUUGCUAAGGCUUUUGAUCGGUUAGAAUGGAGCUUCAUCGUGUCUGCGCUUACUCGUAAAGGGUUACAUGGUCAUUUCAUUAAUUUGAUAUAUGCAUGCAUUUCAUCUCCGACUUUCUUUGUAAUCAUUAAUGGUCAGCCUUCACAUAAAUUUAAGAGUUAUAGGGGGAUUCGUCAAGGCUGUCCUAUGUCACCAUAUUUGUUUGUCAUUGCUAUUAAUGAAUUGUCUCUUUCUCUUAAUGAUGCUCUUGCUGCUCACCAACUUCAGGGGAUUUUACUUGGACCAAAUUGCCCUCCUAUUCACUCUCUUUUGUUUGCAGAUGAUCUACUUGUUUGUGGAAAGGCAACUGUGCAUGAAGCUGCUUCUAUGGCUCAAAUCAUUCAUCACUUUUGC